UACGUAGGGGGCAAGCGUUGUCCGGAAUCAUUGGGCGUAAAGAGCGUGUAGGCGGCCUGGUAAGUCCGCUGUGAAAGUCCAGGGCUCAACCCUGGAAUGCCGGUGGAAACUGUCAGGCUCGAGUCCGGAAGAGGCGAGUGGAAUUCCUGGUGUAGCGGUGAAAUGCGCAGAUAUCAGGAGGAAUACCAAUGGCGAAGGCAGCUCGCUGGGACGGUACUGACGCUGAGACGCGAAAGCGUGGGGAGCAAACAGG
rnacentral:rRNA from 1 species